CUUAAGAGAACAUUUCUAUUUUUCAGGUUGCAGCCGGAAGACACUGUUAUAAGUUAAGAUUUAUGGACAAGGGACAGGAGGAAGGUUGUCUAAUGCUCUGAUGAAGUUUCAGUCUUUCAGUGCAGCUGAGUCUGAGGACCGUGGUCUUCCUCAGCAUAUGAGGAUGUAGCUCUCAAUAACUGCCUCCAAUGCCAUGUGACACCAUGCUCCUUGCCAAGAUGAUAAUGGACUAAGCCUCUGAAACUGUAAUUUUGCCUCCGGCAAACCUCUGGCUUUUAGCGAUGGAAUCAAAACACAAGCCACUCUCCCUCUGAAGCUCUACAGUCUUCCUUGUUAUUAAAAAAAAAAUAUCAAGCAUGGUCUUGCUGAAGAAGUGUGCACGGGCUGUCUCCCUCUUAUCCUUGUGGUGGUUUUGCUCAGGGACACAUGUGGUUGGAGCCUGUUCUUGAUGCUGGCUCUUCUCUGCCGCAGGCUGAAGUUUCUAAGCCUUUGUUUCAUUAGGACCUUUCCCUCAUCCUCCUUCCUGAGCUUUCUCGACUGCAGCAUCUGUCACCCCAUGACGGACACUAUUUCCUCAUUUUCGCUCAUUUGUUUUACAGAGUUUUAUGUUUCCGUGUCUCACACUAUAUCUUCCACACCAGGAGCAUAUUAAAUGAUUGGUUGGGUGUUGGAUCGAUGGAAUGAACGUAAAACAAUUCCUCCUUUUGAAAGGAUGAAGGUGCUUACUUUCAAAAAAAAGAUGCGAUGGAACCUUUUAAUCCGAACUAUCUCCAAAUUCCUUGAAAAGUCAUCACCAUGGGGGACAAAAGUUGAAGCCAGAAAGGAAGCAAAGACAAGAACAGGGAGUAGGGGAAAGGUGUGUCACAUCCUAUGUCUCUUAUUCCGUUAAUAGAGGUACCGGUUCCCGGAUGAGA
rnacentral:sRNA from 1 species